rnacentral:rRNA from 1 species
GUGGGGAAUUUUGGACAAUGGGCGCAAGCCUGAUCCAGCAAUGCCGCGUGCAGGAAGAAGGCCUUCGGGUUGUAAACUGCUUUUGUACGGAACGAAACGGUCCGGGUUAAUACCCUGGGCUAAUGACGGUACCGUAAGAAUAAGCACCGGCUAACUACGUGCCAGCAGCCGCGGUAAUACGUAGGGUGCAAGCGUUAAUCGGAAUUACUGGGCGUAAAGCGUGCGCAGGCGGUUUUGUAAGACAGGCGUGAAAUCCCCGGGCUCAACCUGGGAAUUGCGCUUGGGACUGCAAGGCUGGAGUGCGGCAGAGGGGGAUGGAAUUCCGCGUGUAGCAGUGAAAUGCGUAGAUAUGCGGAGGAACACCGAUGGCGAAGGCAAUCCCCUGGGCCUGCACUGACGCUCAUGCACGAAAGCGUGGGGAGCAAACAGGAUUAGAAACCCCGGUAGUCC